GUGGGGAAUAUUAGGCAAUGGGCGAAAGCCUGACCUAGCAACGCCGCGUGAAGGAAGAAGGCCUUCGGGUUGUAAACUUCUUUUAUGAGGGACGAAGGACGUGACGGUACCUCAUGAAUAAGCCACGGCUAACUACGUGCCAGCAGCCGCGGUAAUACGUAGGUGGCGAGCGUUGUCCGGAUUUACUGGGUGUAAAGGGCGCGUAGGCGGACUGGCAAGUCAGAUGUUAAAUACAGGGGCUCAACCCCUGAACUGCAUUUGAAACUGUUGGUCUUGAGUAUCGGAGAGGCAAGCGGAAUUCCUAGUGUAGCGGUGAAAUGCGUAGAUAUUAGGAGGAACACCUGUGGCGAAGGCGGCUUGCUGGACGACAACUGACGCUGAGGCGCGAAAGCGUGGGGAGCAAACAGGAUUAGAAACCCUUGUAGUCC
rnacentral:rRNA from 1 species